rnacentral:lncRNA from 1 species
UUCGUUCGUCCGUUCGUUCGUCCGUUCGUUCGUCCGUUCGUCCGUCUGUCCCGCUUCAGGUUAAAGUUUUUGGUCGAGGUAGUUUUUGAUGAAGUUGAAGUCCAAUCAACUUGAAACUUAGUACACAUGUUCCUUAUGAUAUGAUCUUUCUAAUUUAAAUGCCAAAUUAGAGUUUUGACCCCAAUUUUACGGUUCACUGAUAGAAAAUGAUAGUGCAAAUUUCAGGUUAAAGUUUUUGGCUUCAGGUUAAAGUUUUGGUCAAGGUAGUUUU